CAGUGUACUGGUGGGAGAGUAAUAAAUAAAUGUUAAAGCGUGGAAGAUACUUAUGAAACAAAUAAAAAUGAGCCUGCAGAAGUUCAUGCACCCGAGGAACAAAUACAGGAAAAAACCUGACUUUAAACAACUGGCUCUGUUGUAUCCAGAGUUUCGACAGAAUACCAUAGUGGAACUGUCAGGAAAUGUAAAGCUCAAUUUUAAGAAUGAAGAAAGCUUACGAAUAUUAGCAAAAACGCUUCUGAAACAUGACUUUGAUUUAGAGGUGGACAUUCCUUUGACAAAAUUGAUACCUGCUUUGCCGCUUCGUUUAAAUUACAUCUUGUGGGUCGAGGAUUUAAUGCGAUAUGCUGGAUGUACAGAUAUGAGCUUGCUUCAUGGUAUAGACAUAGGCACUGGUGCCGUUUGUAUAUAUCCACUGUUAUUUGCUCAAAUUUAUGGAAGCAGAAUAAUUGGAACCGAAGUUGAUUCAUUGAGUAUUGAAUCAGCUGUGAAUAACAUUAAACGCAAUAACUUGCAACACCUUAUAAAAGUGAUCCACGUGAAUGAAAAUAAGAUCUUGAAAGGUGUUAUCCCAGAAGAUGUACAGUAUUCCUUUGUAAUGUGCAAUCCUCCGUUCUUUGGUUUUGACAAACACUUAAAAAAAAAACCUAAGAAGCAACCUGCAAGGAGCGCACCAUCAGGGUCCGGUGGAGAACUUUUGACGGAAGGAGGUGAAGUGCAGUUUAUUCAACGAAUAAUGGAGGACAGCAUUGAGAUCAAAGAAAAAAUUAAAUUGUAUACCACGAUGGUAGGUCGAAAGAGCAGUUUAUCACUUUUGAUGAAAGAGAUGGAACGGAGAAACAUUAUUAAUACGACGUGUACAGAAUUUUGCCAAGGAUAUACAAAAAGAUGGGGUUUAGCAUGGAGUUUUUUAUCCAGAGACAAACUGGACCUGACGAAGGCACCUACUAUUGCUUCAAGACAACAUAAGGCUUCCCUUCCUGUGGGAGUGCCCAUUCCAAAGGGAGACAAAUUUUCUUCGGUCAAUGAGGUCAUUAUAGCUUUGAAGUCAUUCAUCAAUGAAAUAAAUGGGUCUAAGAUGGUCAAUGUGAUAUACACAUAAGGGGGUUUCGCCCUUAUCAAUCGGAUUCAACAAACCUUCUUGUUUGCCGUGUUUCCUUUCCGCCAAAAUAUAAGCAAAGUGCCCGUUCUCGUGUGCACGUCUGACCACUUGAGAUUGCAUAGGUCUCGGAACAACCAAACAUUAUCCUCGCA
rnacentral:misc_RNA from 1 species